rnacentral:lncRNA from 10 species
GGUGCCUCAGCCAUCAAUGGGUGAAGAAAGAAAUCUUUCCUCCCCUAUAGUUUCUGGUACCCAUUGAAGGACAGCUGAGACACCCGACUUACUCUGGAGCUAGCAGAUGAAACCCUGGGACAACUGACAAAAGCCAGCAAAAGAUAAGGAUUCUUAUCAAGGAAGAAGUUGUACUCUGAAGUUUCCUUAUCUGCCUAAAAUCUGGACACACCAAAGAAGAAAACAAUCACCCCUGAUCCCUUCCCUGAGUUUUCAUUAACUCAACUCAUAUUGCAGGAAGAAAGACUGAAGUCCUUCAACGCACCUGAGAAGACUUUUGUCACAAACCAUUGUCUGCUUGGUGGGCUCAACAGACUUUGUCCCGGGCCAUUGUAUGUUUUUCAAGCUCAUUGAAUCCUCUUAAAAAUCAUUUACUAGCCCCCUAAAAUCACCCACAUUUCCCCAUCUCCCUUUCUUUUAAGAAGAAGGGUACAUAACCAUCUGUACCUUCUUGUGUGGUGUGGUAAUCACUCUGUGAUUUCUUCCAUGCAUGUUAGUAAAUGUGCAUGCCUUUUCUUCUACUAACCUGCCUUUUGUUAGUUGAGUUUCAGCAAACCUUCAGAGGUUAAAGGGGAAGUUUUCCCUUGGUCUCUACAGCUUUGGCAUCAUGAACAGGAUAACCAGUCACUCUGCUCUUCUGGAAGCUGCAGUCAAGGAAACUCAGGAUGUGACAAACUGGCAGAAGGGAAAUAAAUUCUUACCAGCUGGACUCUCAGCCUCUAUUUCUGCAGAAUCCAGUUGAGUGGAUGCUAAAAAUCAGUUUGUCUCUUUUUCCCCUCCAAAAUAUUGGUGUAAUGGGAUAAAAAGAUUUAGGUGACAAGUCUUGGGUGUAGUGUCUCUGGUGUACUUUUUGGUAUGAAUAUUCAUGUUGUUUGAUCCCUUUCCUUCCAGAAAUAGUCUUUGUUUUUGAUUGUUUGUUUGUUGUUCUGUCACAAAGAGGGGUACCAUGGGUAGAACAUAGGUCUCAUAUCUCUAUUAGCUGGUUGUUUUAGCAGGAUGUGCGGACUGGUAAGUUUUGUGGUUCUGAUCACAACAGCAUCUAUUUAGAUAAACUUUCCUGUAGGUCUCCCAAAUAAAAACUGUAUGAGGUUCCCCUCUCAUCUUGUUUCAUGUCUUUGAGAGCUUUAUUUAAGAUCUAGUAGCAACAGUCUCUCUUGGUCUCUGCCAUCUAGGAGGCAUGAUUUUUGGGUCAUAUCCAGUGAUCAGUUGGAAAAUGUUGGAAACCCCUGAGAUUUUAAGCAGUACACUUCUUGUUCCAAGCAUGUCAAGCUGGCGUAAGGGGCUUUUGUUGUCUCAAUCAUUUGUUGCCUGGUUAGUCUUGGGAAAGUACAAUCCCAGGAGGGCCUACCUAGAGUCAUGGAUUAAUGGGUCUGUGAAUGGCAGCUUUCUACAGAUUUGUGGAACACUGAAGGUACUGUACACAGAAACACCAUCCUAAACUGUCUGUGGCAACACGAGUCAUUUUCUAUCCUGGCCUAUACCUGGGAGUGAAUUUUUUUGGAUCAUGGAGACUGCCUCUUUCAUGUCCUCUCCAGAAAAGAAAAACACUUAUUUUAAACCUGAAAAAUUACUUCCUGGGAUUUCCUUAAAGAAGCUUAAUUGGACUGAGUUGCUAUUGGAAUAAGCACACCAUAAGAAAUUCUAGUCAUUAGUGGCCAAAAGAUGGAUUCUUUAAAUUAGAAAGACCCUGAAAUUUAAAAAAAAGUUUUCAGAGCUCCUCAUUCUAAACAGUUGCCUUGUGGGAAGAUCAGAUUAAAAGAAAGACACAUAAUAGUGUCAUAGGAAGCCUUAAAAAUUAUCUUGAUGAAAUUAAAAAACAAAAAUUUGACCUAAAGCAAAGUUAAAAUUAUUUGUAACCUCAAACUGCCUGAUUUGGACCCCUGUGAAAUUUACAGUGAUGGCUUCUUUACCUUGUAGUCUAGUAGUUAAAAUUCUAUGAUUUCACUCUAACAACCUUAGGUUUGAUGCUUGGUUAGAUAACCAGUCCCUUUUAGUUUGAUACUUGCGUGAAGCUUAACUUUGGGGGUACCCAUUUGUUAUCCAUUCUUUUCCCUUCUAUGGACAAGUGUUGAUUUUCUGCCUUCUUCCAUCUGUGGGGACAUCUGGGCUUUUGGACUUUUGUCUAUAGAUGGUCAGCUGAGAAGCUGAGAGCCUAGAGUAUAUGGAGACAGAUAUGGGUUGUACCCCAUUUGUAGCUAAUGAACCUUUCCUUUCUUUCAGCUGUCUUUGGCGUAGUUUUGGAUUUUGUGAGGUCUGCUUUGCACCUCUUUGGAGAUGACCUGUGUGUCCUUGGUUAAGUCAUAAUUUUGGUUAAGCUCUAUUCAUUCUGGACACAAUCAGAAAUGCUGCUUAUUUUAUCAAGGUUUUGACUGGAAUGACAUAUUUUCAGAUAUGUCCAGACUGCUUUGAAGAAUUGAGGUUGACUUUAUUGAACUGAUGAAAAGCCCUUUGGAAAGGCUGACCUGGUACUUUAUCUACAUGGUUCCUUUUCAAUGUUUCUGACCUUGUGAUAUUAAUUAACGAAGAACAUAUUGCGUGCCAGGAAAUACUCUACAUGUUGGAGACAUAUCAAAAAGUCCAUAUAUUCUGGGAAUGCUUUACUAGCACUAUUGCAUUUUAUUAUACAAUCACCUUUGUUAGGAGCUGAAUUGUGUCUCCCUAACCCAUUAAUAUGCUGAAGUCCUAACCCCUACUACCUCAGAAUGUCACUAUACUUGAAAAUAGGAUUUUUGAGGGGGUGAUUAUGGUUAAAUGAGGUCAUAGGAACACCAAUCCAAUAUGACUGGUGUUGUUAUAAGGAGAGGAGAGAUGAGGCCACCGAACACGCAGAGGGAAGACCAUGUAAAGAAGACUCAGAGAGAAGACAGCUGUCUACCAGCUGGGAGGGAGGCCUCAGGAGGAACUAACCUGUGAACACUUUGGUCUUGGCCUUCUAUCUUUCAGAACUGUGAGAAAAUAAAUUUGUUGUUUACACCACCCACU